rnacentral:rRNA from 1 species
CCCUUAGAUGUUCUGGGCCGCACGCGUGCUACACUGACCGGUGCAACAAGUUUCUUUCCUUGGCUCGAUAGGCCUGGGUAAUCUUUGAACACCGGUCGUGAUGGGGAUAGAUCCUUGCAAUUUUUGAUCUUCAACGAGGAAUUCCUAGUAAAUGCGAGUCAUCAUCUCGCGUUGAUUACGUCCCUGCCCUUUGUACACACCGCCCGUCGCUCCUACCGAUCGAAGAGUUAGGUGAAUUGUUUUGAUCGAUAAGAUUUGACUAUGGUCAACUCUCGUUGUGAAAUUCUGUGAAUCUGACUGUUUAGAGGAAGGAAAAGUCGUAACA